AAUUUUUAGUAUUAUUUGUGUGUGUGUGUUUUAUUUCUGCUACUAGGUUGUUUUUAAUUUUUAGUAUUAUUUGUGUGUGUGUGUGUGUGUGUGUGUGUGUGUGUGUGCCCUGUGCCGUUCAUUGAGAGGCCAGAGGACAAUAUCGGGCAUGCUCACACCACAGCACCUGUGGUUGGUAAUCAGAGGCUACUCGAAGCCGGUUCUCUCCUAGCUCAGUUGCCAGGCACUCUUAUCUGCUGAGGCGUCUCAUCCGCCCCAAUACUUCUAUCUUCUUUUCCCUACUUAGCUGAAGUUGGUCCUUGAACGGCCAUCCUCCCUGCUUUUACCCUGCCCCCACACUAGAGGUACAGGCAUAUGUCACCAUUUUACUUAGCUAUUUCUACUAACUGGGGACAGUGGAGGGGGGGUAGCUUUGAAAACAAUUUGUCUCAUUUAGAAACAAAAUUAAGCUCUAUUUUUGGAGUGGUGAUUUUCUUUUGUUUUUUUUUUUUUUGAGAUUUUUUUAAUAAUACUUUUUUUUCUUUAUUUGAAUUAGAAACAAGAUUGUUUUACAUGCCAAUCCAAGUUCCCACUCCCUCCCCUGGAGUGAUGAUUAUCAGUACUGGCACUCAAGUUUGUGGGUGGUUGCCAAACUGCUGGUCCUUCACCAACAGCACUGCCUCACACAACUAUCUUGAAAACACAGUCACCAAGCUGUCAAAAUGGCUCAGUGGGUAAAGGCAGGUUCUACCAAGCUUGAUGAACUGAUAACUAUUCCUAGAAAAUGUUCCCUGUCCUCCACAUGUGCACCCUAGCAUAUGUGCCCACAUAGGCAAAUAAAUAAAUAAACAUUAGGGAAGACAACACCAUUCUAGAGGGGAAAAAAGCUGUCUGAGAAGGCUAAUGGAGCCCGGGGAGUGUGUGGGUGGGAUGUUCUACAUGGAGGUUCUGUGGUUCUCACAGUGAUGCAGCAGCAUGUGUCGUGCCUCAGUCAGUUGUGGUUUUAUUCUGCAGGAAGCAGGGCUGGCUUCAGGCAUCACAGUCGUGGCUUUGUUCAGGUUUAUUUCUCUGUGGAUCAGCAAUCUCUGUCACUGAGCUUUUCUUUGGGGUACAGUGCUUAUUGACUAGUGUUAGCUGCCAUCUAUAGACAGACUUGGAAGUUUUUAUUUAUUUACUUAUUUUGUGUGUAUAAGUGUCUGCAUGUGCCGGGCGGUGGUGGCGCACACCUUUAAUCCCAGCACUUGGGAGGCAAAGGCAGUCAGAUCUCUGUGAGUUCCAGGCCAACCUGGUCUCCAGAGUGAGUGCCAGGAUAGGCUCCAAAGCUACACAGACAAACCCUGUCUCGAAAAACCAAAAAAAAAAAAAAAAAAAAAAAAAGUGUCUGCAUGUAUGUAUGUGCACAGGUGUAUGACUGGUACUCUUGAAAGUCAGAAGAGGGCUUUGGAUCCCUGGGAACCAGGGUUACAGAUAGUUGUGAGUCAUCAUGUGGGUGUCAGGAGGUGAACCCCAGUGCCCUGUGAGAGCAGCAAAUGCUCUUAACCAGUCAACCAUCUCUCUCCAGACUCCAACAGAUCAGUUUUAACCAUGGAAAAACAGCAUGAAAGGUAGUUGGAGACUGUAUGGUAGUGGACGGUUCUUCCUUUACUGUGUACUGUUUCAUAGACUUUGAUAUAUUUUCAUCAAGAGGAAACCACAGACAGGAAAAGGCCUGCCCAAAGUUAAUCAGUGUAGGAGGCCUGUAGGUCCUUGUGCUCACAGAUAAAUACUAGGGAAAACAGAAUGUUAAACACACAGAGCUGUCUUUUCAAAGGGAGAGGUGUGCAGACCUGUUUUCCACCCAGAAAUCUGAGAACAGAUGUGGUGACCUUUGCAGUAUCUGUGUGGCCAGGCCACACCAGCUCCCCAGACCUUAUCUUGAGGUUGUCUCAGUUAAUCUGUAGUGCUAUCCUCCCCCAGACCCUUAUUAGAAGCUUGCUAUCUUGAGCUCAUUUCCUCAGUCAAUCUAUCUUUGUGGAAGAUGUCACUUGUACUUUACAAAGAGUUUUAAUGUAGUCAUGUCUUAAGCUUUGUUAUGUACACCGGAUUAGUUAUCACCAGAAAACUUUGUUCCCAAUUGUGCUGUACUUAAAUAUGCCUAAAAAUAAAUGACCUGGUAUCAGACUCUGAAAGUUUAAACCAAUGCCAGCUACUAAGUCUUUUGAACCAAACUGUCUUCUUUCCUUUCAUGGACCAACACUCUGCUGGCCUUGGUGGUCUCAGAGGCCCCCACAUUCAGAUGUAUGAAGAAUAAUGAAGACUAGGAUCUUGUUUUCAGAAUAAAAGAUAUGGUGAAAAUCUUGCUCUAACGUUUACCACACUUUUUUUCUCACAUUUAAAAAUUUCCAAGAAUUUUCAAAUUCAUUGUUUUAGUAUUACAUUGCUUCUAUAAGAGCCUUGUAAGAGAGACAGAUAUCACCA
rnacentral:lncRNA from 1 species